CCAUACGAUACUCUGGCAGUAUGUACGAGAAGGAGUCGGUUGCUAUCUUUGGUUAUCUAGCUGUAUGAGUGUUACUCGGCCGUCAUAAAGCUAGCUAACCGAAAGUAGGAAUGUCCUCCAAACCUGCGACUCGGACAGGAAUAAAUGGUGUCUGGGAGUAAAGACACAAAAUAACAUAAUUGAUAUGCAAUUACAGGCCAAUACCUCAGUGCCUUUCCGGUUGAUCCAGUGCCCUUGUCACUGCAGUGGCUGCCUGAGAUACACACAGAAACUCUGCAGUGUGAACAGCACACGCUGUCUACUAUAUGUGACUGCCAGCCAUUCACACCAGGUCUGGAUUGAGCGAGGGAAAAGUGGCACAGUCGUCACAAAAAAAGGAGAAAGCAGGAGGGGAAGAAAAAGGCCAACCCCCUUGUCCCUCUUCCCUUAAAUCUCCAUCACCGGAAGCCUUUGGUGCCAUCUGUGCCCCCGGAGAAAAGGACGGACGACAUGCCUCCACCCUGUGCCAACGGGGACAAAGGAGCUGCCAGUUAGAGCGGCCCCCCUCGCAGGCAGCCAGAGGACUCUGUGUGACUGACUGGGGCUGAGCUAUGGAAGCCAUCUUGAUGGAGAGUCUUGCUGCUGCUCCUAAAAUGGCUGUGUUGGCAUGAGGUCCUGCUGGUGUUGACAACCUCCAGAGGAAGCCUCUUCCAUCAGCCCUGAGCCCUGGGCCCUGGGCCCUGAACCCUGAACCCUGGGCCCUGAACCCUGAGCCCUGGGCCCCGAGCGCUGGCAGUUGGUUUAGACGCACCAGCGGGAAUAGCAUGUCAGAUCCCAGGAUGUCACGCAAGGCCUUCCUCAUUGGCAUCCUCUCCAGUCAAACACUGAGAAAUCAGGGCAAUGAAGAAUCGCCCCUAAAGUUAAUACUUGGAGAGAUUUACUGUAAGGACAAUGUUUGGAGUUAUUUGAAAACAUUGUUUGCAGAAGUUGCACCGGAUCAUCUGCAGAUAUAUUGCACUUGGGUAAUGAAUGUUCUCUUUUCCCUGGCUGAGAGUGUAUAGUUUCAAUAUAACUUUUAACAUUACAGCAGAAUGUAAGACAAUGUGUGUAUGAUGUGAAAUCAAAAGGGAUGAGAUCAACAUGUGUUCUUAAUCUAAGUGUGUGUGUGGUGCGUGUGUGUGUGUGUGUGUGCGUGUGUGUGUGUGUGUGUGUGUGUGUGUGUGUGUGUGUGUGUGUGUGUGUGUGGUUUGGCCCCUAUUGUACUCUUUAGAGUACUCUGGAGUGUACUGGGCUUCAGAGAAGCACUACAGUGCCCUAAUGUGUGGGCUGCUUACAAGAGAAGCUCUCUGGAUGUCUAUCCUCUGUCAUGUGCAAUUAGUUACUUUAUGAAUAGAACUGACUACUCUAUGCAAAUACAUGUGAAUGACUCACCCUCUGGCUGUAUUGCAAAUGUUGUUUAAUGUUUGACUGUCACAGUGAAAAGAAAGACAUUGUUUGGUGAAGAUUCCAUCCAUUUACUGUAUCCAUCAAAUGCUGCGUUUUUCCAAUUACAAAUAUUAUCUGCACGUGUUCAUAGUGAUCAGGGAAUGUUCUACAUGAAAUGUGUUGGAUACAGUAUUGAAGCAGUCAGAUUAAUAGCCGUCUCAUUGCCUGAUUGUUAUUAUUAUCCUUAUUCAGAGAGAUAGACAGUUUUGAACAUACCUGCAAUAAAGAAAGUGACACAUACUUGUACACUAAAGUCAUACAAAACAUGUUUUUGUAAUUGAGUUCUGACUUGUUAUAACUUCUGUGCUGUUUGAAUUGAAUGUGUAUACAGAAUAAAU